UCAGGAUUCUAGCAGCCGUAUUUAGCACUAACGGAAUUUUAUUUAGUGCUUUAUCCGGGUAGUCGGAAAGUAGAGCAUUGCAGUAGUCUAACCUAGAAGUAACAAAAGCAUUGAUUCAUUUUUCUGCAUAAUUUAUGGACAGAAAGUUUCACCCAACAUCAGUGCCCGACCUCACUAAUGCUCUUGUUGGCUGAAUGGAAGCAAGUCACUGUAGCAAUGUUCCAGCAUCUAGUGGAAAGCCUUCCCAGAAGAGUGGAAGCUGCUAUAGCAGCAAGGGGGUGACCAACCAACUCCAUAUUAAUGCCCAUGUUUUUGGAAUGAGAUGAACAGGUGUCCACAUACUUUUAGUCAUGUAGUGUACAUAAUUGAUGCCUGGACCAUUCAGUUUCACUUUAAUCAGAGGUUUCAGAUUAUAUAUGACUUGGAUUGGGGAGGUGUGGUGGAAAAAUAACAUUUGCUUGAUAAGAUUUAAAAGGAAGCUUACAUGGACGGAAAGUGUGACCCAUUUUUCUAUUACAAACAGCACCCAUGGACUUACGUGAUUGUAGACAUGCCUGAACAUAGCUGAACAUAGGUAUAUAAUUCCAACAUAAAAUAUGAUUUAAAUUUCAACGAUUUCUGCCUACAUCGCCCAGUGAGCAGUGAGCUGAGCAAGUGGCGAUUGAAUAUGACGUUCCAUUUUGUUCUAUAAAGGCCCUCCCCUUUCUUCGUCACGUCCUCUUUCAAUUUGGUGUCUUCGCUGUAGAGGCACAUCUCCACAAGAUGAGAGCAAAGUGGAGGAAGAAGCGUAUGCGCAGGUAAGAAUCAUUUCCUUUAAGGCUUUUCAUCUGAAUGCUAAUGCUACUUUGUAGUUUCGUUCAGAUAUGCAUUCUACUCCAGUCUUCUGUUAACAUGGACAUGGCACAUUUGCAAUCUACUACAAUAGAUUUGACAACCAUGUAUAUGACUGUUUUUCAGGCUCAUACGAGUUCAAUUCAGGGUGUAUGUUGAAUGUUUGUUCAUUCGGCGUUGCAGGUAGUCUAGUGGUUAGAGAACUGGGCUAGUAACUGCUAGUUUGCUGGAUCGAAUCGCCACGGUGGAACACUUAAAUAUGUUCUACCCCAGAACAAGGCAGCUAACAGCCUACUGGGGAGCCGUGUGUCAUUGUAAAAAAUAAAUGAUAACUGACUUGCCUAUUUUUAAAUGAACAUUACAUUUAAAUGAGUACAUGACAAUGGUGGGAUUAAUGCUAGUCAUUGUUGGGACUUUUACAAGCUGAUAUGGUGUGUAAUGAUGCAGCCCUGGUCACUAAUUGACACUUUCUGGUCUUUGUAGGCUGAAGCGUAAAAGGCGAAAGAUGAGGCAGAGGUCCAAGUAGACUGGCCCAUUCCCCUACUGCUGUGAUUGUUUUUCUCCACCCACUCCAAGCCCUCUGAAGCCAGCGGUCCAUGAUUUGAAGAGCUGAACCAUGGUGGUCUGAAGCUGGCCUCGUUGGUGUGAAGGACAGAUUCUGCCUACCCAGCCCUCUACUCUGCCAAUGGCUCCUGGCCGUUGACUUCUGCUAGAAUCUCUCCUGUCAUUAAACUCUGGCCUUUUACCACCUGCACAGCUGUUGUAAAGACCAUAAUAAAUAUUUGGUUUACUAACUACAUUACAGUCUCUGUAAACAUUGAUUCAGGUUCAAAUCUUAUUUUAUUGAUCACACACAUUUAGUAGAUAUUGCGGGUGUGGUGAAAUUCUUAUCUUUCGGUCCACCCAACUUGCACUUAAUGCUUUUGAUAAUGUUGGAAACUAAUAUCUGGGGAACCAGUUGAUGCUUUUGAGUCCCCGUUGCAGUACAAUUUGGUUUACAUUUGUACAGCUGUAGACUUAACUGCCCUGGGGAUCAGUAAUAUAGUUGAGGUUCCGGUUUAACUAAGUUCCUGAACAGUGGUUUUCCAGCGUGCCAAGUUCUGAGGUCGGGUGAUCUGAUGCAGUACUCCCCUCUUCCUGGUGAAAUAGCCCUUACACAACCUGGAAGUGUGUGUUGGUUAAUUGUCCUGUUGAAAAACAGUCCCACUAAGCCAAAACUAGAUGGGAUCUUGCUGCAGAAUGCUGUGGUAGCCAUGCUGGUUAGGUGUGCCUUAUUCUAGAUAAAUCACUGUCACAGGCAAAGCACCAUCACACCAUGUUUCGUGGUGGGAACCACAUGCGGCGAUAAAUCUGUUCACCUCAUCUGGCAAAGGUUGUUGGAACCAAAAAUCUCAAGUGCACGCAUCAGACCAAAGGAUAGAUUUCCACCGGUCUAAUAUCCAUUGCUCAUGUUUCUUGGCCCAAGAAAGUCUCCUUAUUGGUGUCCUUUAGUAGUGGUUUCUUUGCAGCAAUUUGACCAUGAAGGCUUGAUUCUCGCAGUCUCCGAACAGUUGAUGUGACUAACAAACAGAAGCAUUUAUUUGGGUUGCAAUCUGAGGUGCAGUUAAGUCUAAUGAACUUAUUCUCUGCAGCGGAGGGAACUCUGGGUCUUCCUUUAAUGUGGCAGUCCACAUGAGCGCCAGUUUCAUCAUAGCGCUUCUGCAACUGCACUUGAACAAACGUUCAAAGUUCUUAUUUGGGAUUGACUGACCACGUUUUAAUGAUGGACUGUCAUAUUUGCUUAUUUCAGAUGUUCUUGCCAUAAUAUGGACUUAGCCCUAUUUGGACAAAUACCCUCUUCUGUAUACCACCCCUACCUUGUCACAACACAACUGGAUUAGCUCAAACACAUUAAGAAGGAAAGAAAUGACACAAAUGAACUUUUAACAAGGGACGCCUGUUAAUUGAAAUGCAUUCCAGGAUACUACCUCAAAGCUGGUUGAGAGAAUGCCAAAUGUGUGCAAAGUUGUCACCAAGGCAAAGAGUGGCUGUUUUGAAGAAUCUCAAAUAUAAAUCCUAUUUUGAUUUGACACUUUUUUGGUUACUACAUGAUUCCAUGUGUUAUUUCAUAGUUUUGAUGUCUUCACUAUCUUCACUACAAUGUAGAAAAUAGUCAAAUAAAGAAAAACCCUUACAUGAGU
ensembl:lncRNA